rnacentral:rRNA from 1 species
UACGAAGGGGGCUAGCGUUGCUCGGAAUCACUGGGCGUAAAGGGUGCGUAGGCGGGUCUUUUAAGUCAGGGGUGAAAUCCUGGAGCUCAACUCCAGAACUGCCUUUGAUACUGGCGGUCUCGAGUCCGGGAGAGGUGAGUGGAACUGCGAGUGUAGAGGUGAAAUUCGUAGAUAUUCGCAAGAACACCAGUGGCGAAGGCGGCUCACUGGCCCGGUACUGACGCUGAGGUGCGAAAGCGUGGGGAGCAAACAGG